AUUGAACGCUGGCGGCAGGCCUAACACAUGCAAGUCGAACGAGUGGCGGACGGGUGAGUAAUGUCUGGGAAACUGCCCGAUGGAGGGGGAUAACUACUGGAAACGGUAGCUAAUACCGCAUACCAUCGGAUGUGCCCAGAUGGGAUUAGCUAGUAGGUGGGGUAACGGCUCACCUAGGCGACGAUCCCUAGCUGGUCGGAGAGGAUGACCAGCCAAACUGGAACUGGGACACGGUCCAGAUUCCUAUGGGAGGCAGGAGUGGGGAUUAUGGCAAAAUGGGCGUAAGCCGGAUGCAGCCAUGACGCGUGUAUGAAGAAGGACUGCGGGUUGUAAAGUACUUUAAGCGAGGAGGCGUGACUCUCAGAAGAAGCACCGGCUAACUCCGUGCAAGCAGCCGCGGUAAUA
rnacentral:rRNA from 1 species